AUUUUAAAUUUUAAAAAAUAAAUUUAAAAUUUAAAGUUUAAAAUUUGAAAUUUGAACUAUGAGAUUUGAAAUUUGAAAUUUGAAAUUUGAAAUUUAAAAUUUAAAUUUAAAAUUUGAAAUUUAAAAUUUAAAUUUGAAAUUUAAAAUUUAAAAUUUGAAAUUUGAAAUUUGAAAUUUAAAAUCUAUGUUGAGAUUUAAAAUUUAUGUUGAAAUUUAAAAUUUUAUGUUGAAAUUUAAACGUUAGAACUUGAUGCAUUUCUUUAAAUAAGGGAGCUCAAGGAUGGUAGAAUUUUUUUUCUUUGUUUAGAGUGGAUUAUACUUUAACUCUAUUCUUUGAAGUAUAGUUUAACUAUAUUCUAAAAAUUACGUUAUUUUUUUCCUCCCAAAUACUUUAUAGGAUAUUUUUCUUAUCACCGUAGGAUAGUUUAACUAUACUACGUUUUCAGGAGUAUCCAAAAGGGGCCUUCCUACUUGU
rnacentral:lncRNA from 1 species